rnacentral:rRNA from 1 species
CCUACGGGGGACAGCAGUAGGGGAUAUUGCUCAAUGGGGGAAACCCUGAAGCAGCAACGCCGCGUGGAGGAUGAAGGUUUUCGGUUUGUAAACUUCUUUUGUUAGAGAAGAUAAUGACGGUAUUUAACGAAUAAGCACCGGCUAACUCCGUGCCAGCAGCCGCGGUAAUACGGAGGGUGCAAGCGUUACUCGGAAUCACUGGGCGUAAAGAGCGCGUAGACGGGAUAGCAAGUCAGAUGUGAAAGCCUAUGGCUUAACCAUAGCACUGCUUUUGAAACUGUUAUUCUAGAGUAUGGGAGAGGUAGGUGGAAUUCUUGGUGUAGGGGUAAAAUCCGUAGAGAUCAAGAGGAAUACUCAUUGCGAAGGCGACCUGCUAGAACAUAACUGACGCUGAUGCGCGAAAGCGUGGGGAGCAAACAGGAUUAGAUACCCCAGUAGUC